rnacentral:rRNA from 1 species
AUUGAACGCUGGCGGCAGGCCUAACACAUGCAAGUCGAACGAGUGGCGGACGGGUGAGUAAUGUCUGGGAAACUGCCUGAUGGAGGGGGAUAACUACUGGAAACGGUAGCUAAUACCGCAUACCAUCGGAUGUGCCCAGAUGGGAUUAGCUAGUAGGGGGGGUAAUGGCUCCCCUAGGCGACGAUCCCUAGCUGGUCUGAGAGGAUGACCAGCCACACUGGAACUGAGACACGGUCCAGACUCCUACGUGAGGCAGCAGUGGGGAAUAUUGCACAAUGGGCGCAAGCCUGAUGCAGCCAUGCCGCGUGUAUGAAGAAGGCCCUCGGGUUGUAAAGUACUUUCAGUCGGGAGGCGUUACCCGCAGAAGAAGCACCGGCUAACUCCGUGCCAGCAGCCGCGGUAAUUC